rnacentral:rRNA from 1 species
AACGAACGCUGGCGGCAUGCCUAACACAUGCAAGUCGAACGAGAUCUUCGGGUCUAGUGGCGCACGGGUGCGUAACGCGUGGGAAUCUGCCCUUUGGUUCGGAAUAACAGUUGGAAACGACUGCUAAUACCGGAUGAUGACGAAAGUCCAAAGAUUUAUCGCCAGAGGAUGAGCCCGCGUAGGAUUAGCUAGUUGGUGUGGUAAAGGCGCACCAAGGCGACGAUCCUUAGCUGGUCUGAGAGGAUGAUCAGCCACACUGGGACAGAGACACGGCCCAGGCUCCUACGGGAGGCAGCAGUGGGGAAUAUUGGACAAUGGGCGAAAGCCUGAUCCAGCAAUGCCGCGUGAGUGAUGAAGGCCUUAGGGUUGUAAAGCUCUUUUACCCGGGAUGAUAAUGACAGUACCGGGAGAAUAAGCUCCGGCUAACUCCGUGCCAGCCGCCGCGGUAA